rnacentral:rRNA from 1 species
UACGGGGGGGGCAAGCGUUGUUCGGAAUUACUGGGCGUAAAGGGCGCGUAGGUGGCCUGCUAAGUCGGGUGUGAAAACUCUGGGCUUAACCCAGAGCCUGCAUUCGAUACUGACGGGCUAGAGUUCUGGAGGGGAAAGCGGAAUUCCUGGUGUAGCGGUGAAAUGCGUAGAUAUCAGGAGGAACACCGGUGGCGAAGGCGGCUUUCUGGACAGAAACUGACACUGAGGCGCGAAAGCUAGGGGAGCAAACAGG